UAUUUGUUCUCUCCUCCCCAGCUAGGGUUCACGCCGCCGCCGCCGCUGCCCGCGCUCGUGCUCUCUCUCUUCAUCUCCCAUCCCGAGCUGGACCUCCUCCAACCCAUCUCACCUGAUCUUCUCGAUCGAUUUGGAUCUCGGGAGCGAACCGGAGGGAGGCCAGGUUCCCGUUGCCGAGACAGGGGCGAUGAGAAGUGGGUCGCCGCCGCCGCCGCCAUCACGGCUCAAAGCGGCGACCCAAGGAGGAGCUCCGGACUCGGCAGGAGGAGCUCGAGCAGCGGCGGUGGUCCACAACGCCAUCAUGGUCUUCCUCUGCAGGAGCAGCGCUGGCCAUAGAGACGUCCUGCCCCAGCGUCGCCGCCCGUCCACCCGACGAACGAGAGAGGCAUCAAGGGGGAGAUGCACGGCAGAGAUGCAUACGCUCUUCCCUGUGGGAUGACGGUGGUGUUCCUUCCUCCAACAAAAUUCCAGCCCCUUGAUACAGUCAGAUUCAGCCCCACACCAGCGAGUGCUUAUGGCGACGACGAUGACAAAGCAAGCUGACUGCUACUUCCGGAGUAUUACUGGAUGAUGCUUUGUACAGCAGCAACACACACGUACACAACAGCCUCUGCUGAUCGAUUCUGUGGCCGGCCAAAAAACGCUGUGCACGCCAACAAAAUCAAUUGGACUGCCACAGAAUGCAAAUGACGGAAGAACUCUGACAAGUGCACCUUGAUCCUUACUGAAGGAGAUUCAACAAAGGCUUUGGCUUUGGAGGAUGGGAUCACUAUGGUCUGUUUCCUCUCAGGGGUAAAUUUAAAUGUGAGAGAAGCAAGCCAUAAGCAGUUAAUGGAGAAUGCAGAGAUCCAAAAUAUAAAGAAAAUAUUAGGUCUGCAACAUGAAAAGAAGUAUGAUAGCACGAAAGGCUUGAGAUAUGACCACCUUAUGAUAAUGACAGAUUAGGUUUGCCCGACAACUUUUUUAGGACAAUGCAUGAGAUAGCAUUUGCAUCUACUAAUAAGCCAAAGCUACUUAGCCAGAUUAGUGGUGUGUGGAUUAAGAUUUCAGCCAUGGGUGACUUUUCCUUCAUAGCUGGGGCAUAUGCGACAGGUUCCCUACACAUGCUUUCGAAAUCUUUGUCCAUUGUUGAUUUAGCUGUGUAAUCCCUUUGCUGGACAGGAAAGCAUGAUCGCUUGGACAUCAUAAGCAAUUUGUGAUGCCGAUGAUCUUGUAGAGGAUUUAGGAAAGUGAAUUCCAACAUUAUUGAAGCAAAAUUGGUGAAGUUGAAUGAGGAUUGGAGAUGGCGUGUAACCUACUUACACAUAGAUGGAUACUCGGGAUGGCUGAUCUACACAGGCGUGGGCACCAUGUUUAUUACUCUUUGUUACCCAACAUAAUUUCCGUUUAUAAAUUUAGCUAGCGGCCGUGCACAUCUUGAGGUGUCCGUCAACUUCAAACACAAGCCCCAUUCCCCUGUAUGACUAAAUUCAGGUAUUCGUGAGGUGAAUAAGAUAUAUAAUGAUAAAACCUGUAGUUUUGUUAUCAAUGGUUUUGCAUUGUGUCUUGCUGCAAAUGAAUUAAUUGUUUUUUGCAUGUCUAAUUUUCAUGAUGUGUUGAGGCCUUCAUAAUGUUAAUUUUGAAUUUAAGAACUAUGCUCUUAAGAUAUGUCCUUUAACCAUUUGUUUUCUUCUUUUGCUGAUUUCAAGAAAUAGCUCCUUUAAAUGUUGGAAAUGUUCUUGGUACUAAAGACAAUGUUGCAGCAAAGAAGUGGGUAUCACUUAUUGAUGACCAGGUGAUGAAUAUAUUGGUAGGGAUACAUGUAAUGGACCAUAUUUUUCACCAUUCCCAUAUGGCUAUGGACUUGAACACCUACGGAAGAAGAUGUGUAGCCAAAUACUUCCAGGGCAUAUUUCCAACAAUUCACUAUACCUUUUCUCAUUGCCCAUUACUUCACGUGCAAUAUAACAUUAUGUAGCAGCCAAGGUGAUACUGAGGAACUUCUUAGUUCAUACCGAUUACAUGAGUAUAGAGGACAAGUUUGUUAAAUGUUCAUGUUUUGUUAUUGCCAGUGACUUGAUAUGCAUGUGUUCUGAUGAUCCAACAAACACUUCCUCUUUUGGUGAUCACCCACCUUUUGGAGCAUGCUGAACUUUGAUUUCAAUCCAUGUCCGUGUCUUUAUGAUCAGUCAUUGACAUUGUGAGACUGUCACCUCUGUGUUAAUAUAGAGCUAUUAUUAGCUUA